rnacentral:rRNA from 1 species
CCCUUAGGUGUUCGGGGCCGCACGCGCGCUACACUGAAGGAAUCAGCACGUCUUUCUCCUUGUCCGAAAGGACUGGGUAACCCGCUGAACCUCCUUCGUGCUAGGGAUUGGGGCUUGUAAUUCUUCCCCAUGAACGAGGAAUUCCCAGUAAGCGCGAGUCAUAAGCUCGCGUUGAUUACGUCCCUGCCCUUUGUACACACCGCCCGUCGCUACUACCGAUUGGAUGGUUUAGUGAGAUCCUCGGAUUGGUCCCGGAGCGGCCUCUGGUCGUGCCGGAGUGCCGAAAAGAAUGUCGAACUUGAUCAUCUAGAGGAAGUAAAAGUCGUAACA